GGGGGUGUACCGGUUUCGACGGGGGUUGUAUAGGCACGAGUGGCCAGGCGAGAUUCCACCAACUCGUUAAACGGUGGGCCUUGAUAAGUGCCAACGAUAAUCUCGCUUUAGCUGCCUAAUUAACAGCUAACGCCUCCCGGCAGCCGGCCCGUGGGCGGCCGGGAAGGUGUCAACGCUAGCGGGCUAUUCUGAUCACCGGCACCUGCCCGGGGGCAGAGAAAUCUCAGCAGGUUGGCCACAGGAAAUCCGGUCCCCGGGAGUUCCUGGGGCGAGAAGCAAAACAGGGACUAUCCUGGUAGAAGCUCUUGCAGGUGCGCUUCCGGACGGGGGUUCGACUCCCCCCACCUCCACCA
rnacentral:tmRNA from 1 species